rnacentral:rRNA from 1 species
CCUACGGGUGGCAGCAGUCGAGAAUCAUUCACAAUGGGGGAAAGCCUGAUGGUGCGACGCCGCGUGGGGGAAUGAAGGUCUUCGGAUUGUAAACCCCUGUCAUGUGGGAGCAAAUUAAAAAGAUAGUACCACAAGAGGAAGAGACGGCUAAAUCUGUCCCAGCAGCCGCUGUAAUACAGAGGUCUCAAGCGUUGUUCGGAAUCACUGGGCGUAAGGCGUGCGUAGGCUGUUUCUUAAGUCGUGUGUGAAAGGCGCGGGCUCAAGCCGCGGGCGGCACAGGAUCCUGGGAGACUAGAGGAAUGGAGGGGGAAUCGGAAUUCUCGGUGUAGCAGUGAAAUGCGUAGAUAUUGGGAGGAACACUCGGGGCGAGGGCGGGUUCCUGGACAUUAACUGACGCUGAGGCACGAAGGCCAGGGGAGCGAAAGGGAUUAGAUACCCUGGUAGUC